rnacentral:rRNA from 1 species
AUGAACGCUGGCGGCGUGCCUAAUACAUGCAAGUCGAGCGGCAGCACGGUCUUCGGACUGGUGGCGAGCGGCGGACGGCUGAGUAACGCGUAGGAACAUGCCCAGUAAUGGGGGAUAACGACGAGAAAUCGUUGCUAAUACCGCAUACGCCCUGAGGGGGAAAGCGGGGGAUCUUCGGACCUCGCGUUACUGGAUUGGCCUAUAUCUGAUUAGCUAGUUGGUGAGGUAAAGGCUCACCAAGGCGACGAUCAGUAGCUGGUCUGAGAGGACGAUCAGCCACACCGGGACUGAGACACGGCCCAGACUCCUACGGGAGGCAGCAGUGGGGAAUAUUGGACAAUGGGCGCAAGCCUGAUCCAGCAAUGCCGCGUGGGUGAAGACGGCCUGCGGGUUGUAAAGCUCUUUUGUCAGGGAAGAAACAGCAGCUCUAACACAGUCUGCGAAUGACGGUACCUGAAGAAUAAGCACCGGCUAACUACGUG